CGGGGCGUGGCGCAGCUCGGUAGCGCACCUGUUUUGGGAACAGGGGGCCGCUGGUUCAAAUCCAGUCGCCCCGA
rnacentral:tRNA from 1 species